GGCCGGCGGGGUAACGCGACGCGGCACUGUGCUAGAUCGGCGGCGCAGCGAGUGUGAGUCUAGAUCGGUGUGAACAGAGUGAAUCGAACCCAGAUCUGAAAGGGUGAAUCGAACCCAAAUCGGUGUGAACAUAGUGAAAUGAACCAGAUCUGUGGAUCUUGAGGCAUGGUGGACGAUGCUGCUUUUCAGAAUAUAGGCAGUGGGGAGCCUGGUUUGAGUUUGAAUAUUUUGAAGGUCACAGUGACGGGCAUUGACAUUCUUGUGAGUAAAUACGCCUGUCUGGAGUACUUGGAUGUAAAUUGGUUUUUUUCAAUCUAAUUCCAUCUUAUUGCACGAUUUUUGAAUAUUUCUAUGUUUAUGUGAAUGUGUUGUAGGACCUGCUUGAUUUAUGCCCAUAAAAGUGGAAAAUUAUGAAGAGAAGUUGAAGAACUUGUGUUGUAAGAUCUGCUUGAUUUAUGCUCAGGAAAAAUGGAAAAUUAUGAAGAGAACUUGAAGAACUUCUGCACUGCAACUUGAGGUGUUGGGAAAUGAAGUUGAGAAAUGGAGGUAGAAGUUCGAACUGCGUCUGCAAUGGACAGUGGUUAAGUUCCA
rnacentral:lncRNA from 1 species